rnacentral:rRNA from 1 species
CUUAAUUUGACUCAACACGGGGAAACUCACCAGGUCCAGACACAAUAAGGAUUGACAGAUUGAUAGCUCUUUCUUGAUUUUGUGGGUGGUGGUGCAUGGCCGUUCUUAGUUGGUGGAGUGAUUUGUCUGCUUAAUUGCGAUAACGAACGAGACCUUGACCUACUAAAUAGCUCUACUUGCGAUUGCAGGUAGCUAGCUUCUUAGAGGGACUAUCUAUUACAAGUAGAUGGAAGUUCGAGGCAAUAACAGGUCUGUGAUGCCCUUAGACGUUCUGGGCCGCACGCGCGCUACACUGACGGAGCCAGCGAGUCGACCAAGCCCGAGAGGGCUAGGUAAUCUUGUGAAACUCCGUCGUGCUGGGGAUAGAGCAUUGCAAUUAUUGCUCUUCAACGAGGAAUUCCUAGUAAGCGCAAGUCAUCAGCUUGCGUUGAUUACGUCCCUGCCCUUUGUACACACCGCCCGUCGCUACUACCGAUUGAAUGGUUUAGUGAGACCUUGGGAGGGCGAGAUGAGGGGGGCAACCCCUUUUGAACAUCCAAACUUGGUCAAACUUGAUUAUUUAGAGGAAGUAAAAGUCGUAACAAG